AGAGUUUGAUCAUGGCUCAGAUUGAACGCUGGCGGCGUGCUUAACACAUGCAAGUCGAGCGGCAGCAGGCCCGCAAGGGUGCUGGCGAGCGGCGGACGGGUGAGCAAUACAUAGGAAUCUGCCUUAGAGCGGGGGUAGCCCGGGGAAACCCGGAUUAAUACCGCAUGAUGUCGAAAGACCAAAGUGGGGGAUCGUAAGACCUCACACUCUGAGAUGAGCCUAUGUCCGAUUAGCUAGUUGGCGGGGUAAUGGCCCACCAAGGCGACGAUCGGUAGCUGGUCUGAGAGGACGAUCAGCCACACCGGAACUGAGACACGGUCCGGACUCCUACGGGAGGCAGCAGUGGGGAAUAUUGGACAAUGGGCGAAAGCCUGAUCCAGCGACGCCGCGUGGGUGAAGAAGGCCUUCGGGUUGUAAAGCCCUUUAAGCCGGGACGAAAAAAUCGAACCUAACACGUUCGGUCUUGACGGUACCGGAAGAAUAAGCACCGGCUAACUCUGUGCCAGCAGCCGCGGUAAUACAGAGGGUGCAAGCGUUAAUCGGAUUUACUGGGCGUAAAGCGUGUGUAGGUGGCCGCGUAAGUCGAUUGUGAAAUCCCUGGGCUCAACCCGGGAAUUGCAGUCGAUACUGCGUGGCUAGAGUUCGGUAGAGGACGGCAGAAUUCCCGGUAGCGGUGAAAUGCGUAGAGAUCGGGAGGAAUACCGAUGGCGAAAGCAACCGUCUGGGCCUGAACUGACACUGAGACACGAAAGCGUGGGGAGCAAACAGGAUUAGAUACCCUAGUAGUCC
rnacentral:rRNA from 1 species